rnacentral:tmRNA from 1 species
CAGGACUGAGAAAACGAUUAUGACCACUACGCCCGUAGAAGCCCUAUGUCAGUACUAGAGGACCCGGGUUCGAUUCCCGGCACCUCCACCA